GACGAACGCUGGCGGCGUGCUUAACACAUGCAAGUCGGACGGUAAGGCCCUUCGGGGUACACGAGUGGCGAACGGGUGAGUAACACGUGGGUGAUCUGCCCUGCACUUCGGGAUAAGCCUGGGAAACUGGGUCUAAUACCGGAUAGGACCCUGGGAUGCAUGUCCUGGGGUGGAAAGCUUUUGCGGUGUGGGAUGGGCCCGCGGCCUAUCAGCUUGUUGGUGGGGUGAUGGCCUACCAAGGCGACGACGGGUAGCCGGCCUGAGAGGGUGACCGGCCACACUGGGACUGAGAUACGGCCCAGACUCCUACGGGAGGCAGCAGUGGGGAACAUUGCACAAUGGGCGCAAGCCUGAUGCAGCGACGCCGCGUGAGGGAUGACGGCCUUCGGGUUGUAAACCUCUUUCAGUAGGGACGAAGCGCAAGUGACGGUACCUACAGAAGAAGGACCGGCCAACUACGUGCCAGCCGCCGCAGUAA
rnacentral:rRNA from 1 species